UGGGGAAUAUUGGACAAUGGGCGCAAGCCUGAUCCAGCCAUGCCGCGUGAGUGAUGAAGGCCCUAGGGUUGUAAAGCUCUUUCACCGGUGAAGAUAAUGACGGUAACCGGAGAAGAAGCCCCGGAUAACUUCGUGCCAGCAGCCGCGGUAAUACGAAGGGGGCUAGCGUUGUUCGGAUUUACUGGGCGUAAAGCGGACGUAGGCGGACUUUUAAGUCAGGGGUGAAAUCCCGGGGCUCAACCCCGGAACUGCCUUUGAUACUGGAAGUCUUGAGUAUGGUAGAGGUGAGUGGAAUUCCGAGUGUAGAGGUGAAAUACGUAGAUAUUCGGAGGAACACCAGUGGCGAAGGCGGCGCACUGGACCAGUACUGACGCUGAGGUGCGAAAGCGUGAGGAGCAAACAGG
rnacentral:rRNA from 1 species